UACGGGGGGUGCGAGCGUUGUCCGGAAUCACUGGGCGUAAAGGGCGCGUAGGCGGCCUGAUAAGUAGGGGGGUGAAAUCUUGCGGCUCAACCGCAAGGCUGCCUUCUAAACUGUCAGGCUGGAGCACGGUAGAGGCAGAUGGAAUUCCCGGUGUAGCGGUGGAAUGCGUAGAGAUCGGGAAGAACACCAGUGGCGAAGGCGGUCUGCUGGGCCGUUGCUGACGCUGAGGCGCGAAAGCCAGGGGAGCGAACGGGG
rnacentral:rRNA from 1 species